rnacentral:tRNA from 1 species
CAGGUAUAGUUCAAUGGUAGAACUUUAGCUUCCCAAGCUAAUAAUACGGGUUCGAUUCCCGCUACCUG